rnacentral:rRNA from 1 species
AUACGUAGGUGGCAAGCGUUGUCCGGAAUUAUUGGGCGUAAAGGGAGCGCAGGCGGGAAGGUAAGUCGGUCUUAAAAGUGCGGGGCUCAACCCCGUGAUGGGGUCGAAACUAUCUUUCUUGAGUGCAGGAGAGGAAAGUGGAAUUCCUAGUGCAGCGGUGAAAUGCGUAGAUAUUAGGAGGAACACCAGUGGCGAAGGCGACUUUCUGGACUGUAACUGACGCUGAGGCUCGAAAGCCAGGGGAGC